rfam:Camelus ferus unplaced genomic scaffold scaffold1161, whole genome shotgun sequence.
GAGGGUAUAGCUCAAGUGGUAGAGCACAAGCUUGGCAUGCACAAGGUCCUGGGUUCAAUCCCCAGUACCUCCU